rnacentral:tRNA from 1 species
GGGUUGUGUGGUGUAACUGGUAACACGUCUCCCUUGCAAGGAGAAGUCGCGGUUCAAAUCCGACACGAUCCA